CUUAACACCAGAAGAAGAAGCACAAGCUCUCUCAUUUCGUUCGCUUCGCUGGACGACCACGUUGUGGAGAUCCAAAGUCCUGGAAGAUGUACCAGUAAAUACUAUUUCUUGCUGAAAAUCUCGUUUAUUUCAUAAGAGUAAUGGAAGUCCCCUGGAGCUUUAACAGAACAUCCAUCUGGCCACCUUGAAGAAAACUACGCAUUGUUUUGGUUGUGAGUUUGAUGCCAUCAAGGAGAUGAAUUUCUCAAAGCAGCUUCAAGAAAGAAGUCCGCUCCGCCUAUGAAGAUUCGGACCGAUUGCAAAGCCACAGUUUUAAAGUUUGAUAGUAAUGGAAGUCCCCUGGAGCUUUAACAGAACAUCCAUCUGGCCACCUUGAAGAAAACUACGCAUUGUUUUGGUUGUGAGUUUGAUGCCAUCAAGGAGAUGAAUUUCUCAAAGCAGCUUCAAGAAAGAAGUCCGCUUCGCCUAUGAAGAUUCGGACCGAUUGCAAAGCCACAGUUUUAAAGUUUGAUAGUAAUGGAAGUCCCCUGGAGCUUUAACAGAACAUCCAUCUGGCCACCUUGAAGAAAACUACGCAUUGUUUUGGUUGUGAGUUUGAUGCCAUCAAGGAGAUGAAUUUCUCAAAGCAGCUUCAAGAAAGAAGUCCGCUCCUCCUAUGAAGAUUCGGACCGAUUGCGAAGCCACAGUUUUAAAGUUUGAUGGAGAAACUCGUUCUUUGCAGUGCAGUUGGAUCACUUGUUGCUUAAAGAAGACAUAACAACUGUAGUGAAUAGAAUUUAAUUGGAAAUGUCAUUUUAAGAUUUAACAGUAUUUUGUGCAUGUGGUGUUGGUUCAAAA